GUGAAGGCCGUGCGUGACUUUCGCCGUCUGCGGCCAGCCGGGCCGGGGCCCAGAGCACCCGGGGCCGCUCGGCCUGCGGGGGGAUAGGGCGGCCGUCAGUCAGUCUCCAGCCUGCAGAAAUCGGGCUUCGGCGGCGAAAGGACCCAAGGGUCCCUCAACUCUGAACAGCCCUGUGCUGCCCCUCAGCGCUGGCGGCCUCCAGGAGCAGCUGCCGAGCCUGGAACUAACGGACGGGGAGGAGCUGGAGAGGGCUGCAGGGCGCGCCCGUCCAGUCCACGGAAAGCUUUACUAGUCAGCUUCUCCAGCGCGCACAGCGGCGACAUAGGAGCUGCGCUCAACUCUGGAAGCGGCGACGCCGACUGUCCUCGGGGGACCCAGCGCGGGCC